CUUCCUGGAAACAGUCCCCUGGGCCCGUGGAGAACGUGAGCAGCCACCUGUGAUGAACCACUGAGGGCACUGCUACUGGAGCUCGUAGGAGAAGAUAACAAGGGGUUUCAGCAUUGACAAUGGUGGUAUUUAAUUUUAAGCUUCAGAAAACAGAUUUUAUAAGUUGUAACUAAAUAUAUUUCUGUAUUUAUUUUUUUGGAUUAUUAUUUUCAUAAGUAAACAUGUACCAUAUAGAAAAAUAUUAGAAAACUACAGAGCAGCAAAAAGAGUAGAAACCAGAGACACAGUCAGUUUUCCAAAUACUGUCACUAGAUAAAGCUCCAUGGAGACAGGGGUUUUGCCUGUUUUGUACUCUGCUGUCUCCCCAGCGCCAUAAACAGUGCCUGACACAUACUCCUUGAUUGGACACGUGAAUGUUCUCAAAGCAGGGUAGCAGCCUGCUGUUUGGUUUAAGUUAAGAGCGGGAAAUGAUGAUGCCACUGUGGUUCAGCUUCCCAGACAGGCUGUGUAGCAGAGGACAUGGCACUAAGCUUUCUUGGAGUUGACAUUCCCUCUGACUGUUUGAUGAUACGGCCUUUUCCUUCUCUAUGCACAAGGUUCUUUGAGGAAAGUUUGCAGCAUUUGAAAAUAAAUAUGUGGAGGAGGGUGUUCAUUCCAUGAGAGAGCUUACAUUAUGGUAAUGGGGGGUCCUGGGGUACUUGAAAAUGAGGAUUAAAACUUCUAGGGAUAUAGCCUAAGGAAUUAAUUGGAUAAGUGAGCAAAGAUAUUAUUUGAAGAUGUUUAUCACAGCUUCUUUGUAGUGAUGAGAAGUUGGAAACAACCUGAAUGUCCCAACAUAGGGGAUUGAAAUCUACACAGCAGCAUAUUUAGUAUGUCUGUAAAUAUAUAUAUCCCCAGAUGGUCAUUGUGGUUAUUUUCCAGUGCUCAUAUCAUGGGUGAUUUAAAAUUUAUCUGUAUUUUAGAGUUUUUCUGUGGUGAAUUUAGACUACUUGCACAAUUUAAAACAAAACAAACAAAAACAAAGAUAAAUGAAUGUAGGUCAGAAAUUGCGGGAUGGAAUAUUUGCUGAGAAUGAAAGCUAUAGAGUCCCUUAACCCUAGCUGUGCCACUAGACUCCUGGCUGACACUAGUCAAGGGUGGGCCUGGCACUUGUGGCCACUGUGAGGGCUCAAGUACCAGAUGCCAUCAGCAGCAGCCUGGGCUUGGGCUUGGAGAAGAAAGGAAGUCGCCAUCUGUUGUACCUCAAGCGUCAGAAAUUACUUCCUGUCUGCCAGCUGGUUUCCAUGGGCACCAGGGCAAAAAGGGAGAGUAGAACCAGAUGAGGCGGUUUGGCUGUGGGGGAGGUGUUGGGCAAACUGUACAUCAGGAUGAUAAACCCAGCUGCUCAGGAUGGGGAGGACACCUGUCAUGGCCAUAGCUGCAAGUCUCAUUCCCAGAGCAAGAAGCGGGCAGCAAGGGAUGCGGACUCGGCAAGGCACUGGGUCCCUCUAGUGUAUGGAGAGACCUUUGGUACAGCCAGGGCCUUUUAGAAGGGUAGAGGCCAUUCUCUCGACAGUAUCCUCUAGCCCUUCUGCUGAACCAUAUUGUGGCCAGAGGGUUGGGAAGGGGUGUGGGUGUGUGUGUAUGUGCCUGUGUGUGUGUGUGUAUUCAAUUAUAAUAUAAUUGAAUCUGUUAUUUUUUUUCUCCCCUUUACAGUGAGUACUUUCUGUCCUAUUCAAUAAAUCUUUGUCUACUCUAA